UACAUGCGAGAAACCGYGAUAAGGGAACUCUGAGUGCCCGUAAAAUCGGGCUGUCCAUCAGKWUAAAUAACUGGYGAARAAAGGGCCGGSCAAGACCGRUGCCAGCCGCCGCGGKAAUACCGGCGGCUCGAGUGGUGGCCACUAUUACUGGGCUUAAAGCGUUCGUAGCUGGYYKGUUAARUCUCUGGGGAAAUMUUCCGGCUUAACCGGAAGGCGUMUYAGGGAUACUGGCWGACUARGGACCGGAAGAGGURAGAGGUACUCCAKGGGUAGGAGUGAAAUCCUGUAAUCCUUGGGGGACCACCUGUGGCGAAGGCGUSUCACYAGAACGGCUCCGACAGUGAGGGACGAAAGCUGGGGGAGCAAACCGGAUUAGAUACCCGGGUAGUCCCAGCCGUAAACGAUGUGCAUUAGGUGUAUCGGUGACCACGAGUCACCGAGGUGCCGAASAGAAAUCGUGAAAUGCACCGCCUGGGAAGUACGGUCGCAAGGCUGAAACUUAAAGGAAUUGAC
rnacentral:rRNA from 1 species